GACGAACGCUGGCGGCGUGCUUAACACAUGCAAGUCGAACGGAAAGGCCCUGCUUUUGUGGGGUGCUCGAGUGGCGAACGGGUGAGUAACACGUGAGUAACCUGCCCUUGACUUUGGGAUAACUUCAGGAAACUGGGGCUAAUACCGGAUAGGAGCUCCUGCUGCAUGGUGGGGGUUGGAAAGUUUCGGCGGUUGGGGAUGGACUCGCGGGUUAUCAGCUUGUUGGUGGGGUAGUGGCUUACCAAGGCUUUGACGGGUAGGCGGCCUGAGAGGGUGACCGGGCACAAUGGGACUGCGAGACGGCGCAGACUGCUACGGGAGGCAGCAGUGGGGAAUAUUGCACAAUGGGCGGAAGCCUGAGGCAGAAACGUCGCGUGCGUGAUGACGGCCUUCGGGUUGUAAACCGCUUUCGCCUGUGACGAAGCGUGAGUGACGGUAAUGGGUAAAGAAGCACCGGCUAACUACGUG
rnacentral:rRNA from 1 species